UCCGUAGGUGAACCUGCGGAUUAGAACUCGGUACGCGCGGAUCUUCCAGAGAUUAAGGAUCAUUACAGAGUUCAUGCCCGAAAGGGUAGACCUCCCACCCUUGUGUAUUAUUACUUUGUUGCUUUGGCGAGCUGCCUUUGGGCCUUGUAUGCUCGCCAGAGAAUACCAAAACUCUUUUUAUUAAUGUCGUCUGAGUACUAUAUAAUAGUUAAAACUUUCAACAACGGAUCUCUUGGUUCUGGCAUCGAUGAAGAACGCAGCGAAAUGCGAUAAGUAAUGUGAAUUGCAGAAUUCAGUGAAUCAUCGAAUCUUUGAACGCACAUUGCGCCCCUUGGUAUUCCGGGGGGCAUGCCUGUUCGAGCGUCAUUUCAACCCUCAAGCUUAGCUUGGUAUUGAGUCUAUGUCAGUAAUGGCAGGCUCUAAAAUCAGUGGCGGCGCCGCUGGGUCCUGAACGUAGUAAUAUCUCUCCCGUUACAGGUUCUCGGUGUGCUUCUGCCAAAACCCAAAUUUUUCUAUGGUUGACCUCGGAUCAGGUAGGGAUACCCGCUGAACUUAAAAUCGUCGAACGGCAGGCGUGCAAACUUCGAUGGCGGCAUAUCAAUAAGCGGAGGA
rnacentral:rRNA from 1 species